AUUGAACGCUGGCGGCAGGCCUAACACAUGCAAGUCGAGCGAGCGGCGGACGGGUGAGUAAUGUAUGGGGACUGCCCGAUAGCGGGGGAUAACUACUGGAAACGGUAGCUACUACCGCAUACUAUCGGAUAACCCAUAUGGGAUUAGCUAGUAGGUGAGGUAAUGGCUCACCUAGGCGACGAUCCCUAGCUGGUCUGAGAGGAUGAUCGGCCACACGGGGACUGAGACACGGCCCAGACUCCUACGGAGGCAGCAGUGGGGAAUAUUGCACAUUGGGCGCAGGCCUGAUGCAGCCAUGCGGCUGGUAUGAAGAGGGCUCUAGGGUUGUAAAGUACUUUCAGUCGGGAGGCGUUACCGACAGAAGAAGCACCGGCUAACUCCGUGCCAGCAGCCGCGGUAAUUC
rnacentral:rRNA from 1 species